rnacentral:rRNA from 2 species
UGGGGGAUAUUGCACAAUGGGCGAAAGCCUGAUGCAGCGACGCCGCGUGGGGGAUGAAGGCCUUCGGGUUGUAAACCUCUUUCGCUAUCGAACAAGGCCCGCUUAGGGUGGGUUGAGGGUAGGUGGAGAAGAAGCGCCGGCUAACUACGUGCCAGCAGCCGCGGUAAUACGUAGGGCGCGAGCGUUGUCCGGAAUUAUUGGGCGUAAAGGGCUUGUAGGCGGCUUGUUGCGCCUGCUGUGAAAACGCGGGGCUUAACUUCGCGCGUGCAGUGGGUACGGGCAGGCUUGAGUGUGGUAGGGGUGACUGGAAUUCCAGGUGUAGCGGUGGAAUGCGCAGAUAUCUGGAGGAACACCGAUGGCGAAGGCAGGUCACUGGGCCAUUACUGACGCUGAGGAGCGAAAGCAUGGGUAGCGAACAGG